UACCUGCAGCUCAAGUGGUGGCCGUUAUUAUUGGACCUAAAACGUCCGUAGCCGGUUUAUUAAAUGCCUGGGUAAAUCGGGCCGCUUAACGGUUCGAAUUCCGGGUAGACUGAUAGACUUGGGACCGGGAGAAGCUAGAGGUACUCCUGGGGUAGAGGUGAAAUUCUGUAAUCCUAGGGGGACCACCAGUGGCGAAGGCGUCUAGCUAGAACGGGUCUGACGGUGAGGGACGAAGCCCUGGGGCGCAAAACCGGGAUUAGAUACCCGGGUAGUCCAGGGUGUAAACGCUGCUUGCUUGAUGUUAGUCGGGCUCCGAGCCCGAUUAGUGUCGGAGAGAAGUUGUUAAGCAAGCUGCCCGGGAAGUACGGCCGCAAGACUGAAACUUAAAGGAAUUGGCGGGGAGCACAGCAACGGGUGGAGCGUGCGGUUU
rnacentral:rRNA from 1 species